GUGUUUGGUUUCCGCGCCGCGCUGAUCCAGAGAUGGUUUAGGAUCUUUGGCUGAGCCGACAUGGAAACAGCAAGCAGCGAUUGUAACGUUAAACCAGACGAACAGCAGGCAGAUGGAGGAAUGGAAGCGGACAGGACAAUGUCAAGGUCUGACAGUGGGAGUGGAGAUGAUUCCCUUGAUGGCCUCCUAAACUGUGUCCCCCGGUGCCCUUUGACGCCGUCUUUAUCACCACGAAAACGGACCACGAGCCAGUCCAAGACAGAGCCUCCGCUGCUGAGGACAAACAAACGCACCAUCUACACCGCCGGCAGACCACCUUGGUACAACGUCACGGGGACCACCUUCAAAGAGGCUUUUGUUAUUGGUCUGUGUGGAGGAAGUGCCUCUGGUAAAACCACAGUAGCCAAUAAGAUCAUUGAAGCGCUGGACGUUCCCUGGGUGGUCCUGCUCUCCAUGGACUCUUUCUACAAGGUGUUGAAUAAAGAAGAGCAGGAGCUCGCUGCCAAAAAUGAGUAUAACUUUGAUCACCCUGAUGCCUUUGACUUUGAGCUGCUGGUCACCGUCCUGAGGAAGCUGAAGAAAGGAAAAAGCAUCAAAGUCCCGGUGUACGACUUCACAUCUCACUGCAGGCGCAAAGAAUGGAAAACGGUUUACGGGGCCAACGUUGUAAUCUUUGAGGGCAUCCUUGCUUUUGCCAACAAAGAGCUGCUGAAGCUGCUGGACAUGAAGGUGUUUGUGGACACAGAUUCUGACAUCCGCCUCAUACGGAGGCUGAAGAGGGACAUUUCACAGCGGGGACGGGACAUCAGCGGCAUCAUCAAACAAUACAAUAAGUUUGUAAAGCCGGCGUUCGAACAGUACAUUGAACCCACGGUACAGUCCGCUGACAUCGUGGUGCCCAGAGGUGGAGAAAACUUUGUAGCACUGGAUUUGAUUGUUCAGCACGUUCACAGUCAGCUGGAGAAGAGGAAGCUCCGCUGGGAUAUAUCGGCUCUGGCCUCGGCUCACCAGGGUCAGCCUUUACCCAAAACCCUCAGCGUGAUGGAGAGCACGCCGCAGGUCCGCGGCAUGCACACCAUCAUCAGGAACAAGGAGACUAACAGAGACGAGUUUAUCUUCUACUCCAAGAGAUUAAUGAGGCUUCUGAUAGAGCAUGCCCUCUCCUUUCUGCCUCUCAAGCCAGUGUCUGUGGAGACUCCUCAGGGCGGCAUCUAUAACGGCAAGAGGCUGAGCGGUCAAAGGAUCACAGGCGUUUCUAUCCUGAGAGCAGGAGAGACGAUGGAGCAGGCGCUGAUGGCUGUGUGUAAAGACAUCAGACUGGGAAAGAUCCUCAUCCAGACCAACCAUGACACCGGCGAACCAGAGCUUCACUACCUUCGUCUGCCCAAAGACCUCAGUGAAGACUACGUCAUCCUGAUGGACAGCACCGUGUCCACUGGAGCCGCUGCUCUCAUGGCUGUCCGAGUGCUGCUAGACCACGAUGUAGCAGAGGAUAAGAUCUUCCUGUUGUCCCUGCUAAUGGCAGAGAUGGGCGUUCACUCGGUGGCAUAUGCCUUCCCUAAAGUCCGCAUCAUCACCACCGCCGUGGACAAGGAGGUCAACGACCAGUUCCACAUCAUACCAGGCAUCGGUAAUUUUGGAGAUCGUUACUUUGGCACCGAUGCUCCGUCAGACUGGUGUGAAAGUGAUGAAGGGAUGGACUUCUAAAGAGAGAAACUAUCAGGGAUGUGGAGGGGUUGUUCCAGAAGCACUUGCAGCCAUUAAAACAGGUCUGAUGGACAUGCUCCAGACCGCGAAGGUGAUGCUGUAAUAAACUGCUUCCUAUUCAGAUGAGCAGAACGGAGUUCACCGUUCGGUCAGUGAGAGCUAAGUGGAGAUUUUCAUCUGUGCCAGGCAGGUAUUGAGUCCAUUCCGCAUUCAAGUUUACAGAACGUUUAAAGGGGUCAAAGUGAAGGCUGUUUGUUGGCUUUGACCCCUUUUCACCUAGUAAUUAUUCCACUGUAAUCUCAAAAAGAGGGUGUGCUGCAAAUUGUUGCCAACAUAUGUUACAUACUGAGGAAAAAUGCUUGAUUAUGAUGUAAAUAAUUAGUUUUUUUUGUUGCUGAAGCUGCAGGUUAAAGCUGCGGAGUUGAUGUUUGAAUUCACGUACUGUCGGUUUAAUGGAAAGAGCCUUAAACACUUUGAGUUUGUUUCAGGAUUUUGCACAGGGAGUCUCUUUGCCUUCAAAUACUGUAAAUAAAUCAUUGUUAAAGGUUAGCUGGGAAGAUUUAACUAGAGCUAUGCUCAAUUUUAACCCCCACGUUUAACAGCAGUUAUAAAAAGAUGCACUUCAUAGUGUUCGAUCAAUCAAUCGAUGCCCUGCUGCACGUCUAAUCAGUAAUUAUCUAAUCAUUUGUUUUGCACAAAGACCUGACACAAACAGACCAUAACGCCUCAUCUUUUAAGACAAGUCUAUCACAAGUCUUGGGUGUUUUAAGAGGGACGUUUUCCACAGCAAGGGAGGUAGUAUAUUAUGUCUACUUGGCAGUGUACUGUCAUCUUAGCUUGAAGCUUUAUGUAAGUUAUUAGUGUGCUGAUGAAUCUCCAGCUCUCUGUACUGUAAAAUGGUAUCUCAGGCAACUUUCACUGAAAGGAUUCAUACUUGAACAAGAAGACUGACUGACAAUUAAGGAGAAAUGGUUAAAUAUUGUUGGUUAUAUGUGUUUUAUCUGUUAAAGGUGCCCUGCCACACAAAAGCGUUUUUACUUGCAUUUUUGGAAAUAUGUUAGUGUGUGUGUGUGUGUGUGUGUGU